GACGUAGGGCGCAAGCGUUGUCCGGAUUUAUUGGGCGUAAAGAGCUCGUAGGCGGUUUGUCGCGUCUGCUGUGAAAUCCCGAGGCUCAACCUCGGGCUUGCAGUGGGUACGGGCAGACUAGAGUGCGGUAGGGGAGACUGGAAUUCCUGGUGUAGCGGUGGAAUGCGCAGAUAUCAGGAGGAACACCGAUGGCGAAGGCAGGUCUCUGGGCCGCAACUGACGCUGAGGAGCGAAAGCAUGGGGAGCGAACAGG
rnacentral:rRNA from 1 species